UACGUAGGGUGCAAGCGUUAAUCGGAAUUACUGGGCGUAAAGCGUGCGCAGGCGGUUAUGUAAGACAGGUGUGAAAUCCCCGGCUUAACCUGGGAACUGCAUUUGUGACUGGCAUAGCUAGAGUACGGUAGAGGGGGAUGGAAUUCCGCGUGUAGCAGUGAAAUGCGUAGAUAUGCGGAGGAACACCGAUGGCGAAGGCAAUCCCCUGGACCUGUACUGACGCUCAUGCACGAAAGCGUGGGGAGCAAACAGG
rnacentral:rRNA from 1 species